GUGGCCCUACGGGACGCAGCAGUGAGGAAUAUUGGUCAAUGGCCGAGAGGCUGAACCAGCCACGUCGCGUGAGGGAUGACGGCCCUACGGGUUGUAACCCUCUUUUGUCGGGGAGCAAGACCCGCCACGAGUGGCGGAGCGAGAGUACCCGAAGAAAAAGCAUCGGCUAACUCCGUGCCAGCAGCCGCGGUAAUACGGAGGAUGCGAGCGUUAUCCGGCUUUAUUGGGUUUAAAGGGUGCGCAGGCGGCCCAUCAAGUCAGCGGU
rnacentral:rRNA from 1 species